rfam:Punica granatum cultivar Dabenzi scaffold532, whole genome shotgun sequence.
AAGCCAAUGAGGAUUAGUGUCAUUGUUGGAAUUACCGACUGAAUUGUCAUUGAUGUUAAACAUACUGGCUUUCUGAGGCUUCAU